rnacentral:rRNA from 1 species
UAAAAACCCCGACUUCGGAAGGGGUGUAUUUAUUAGAUACAAAACCAAUGCCCUUCGGGGCUCUUUGGUGAUUCAUGAUAACUAUACGAAUCGCACGGCCUUGCGCCGGCGAUGGUUCAUUCAAAUUUCUUCCCUAUCAACUUUCGAUGUUUGGGUAUUGGCCAAACAUGGUUGCAACGGGUAACGGAGGGCUAGGGCUCGACCCCGGAGAAGGAGCCUGAGAAACGGCUACUACAUCCAAGGAAGGCAGCAGGCGCGCAAAUUACCCAAUCCCGACUCGGGGAGGUAGUGACAAUAAAUACUGAUACAGGGCCCUUUCGGGCCUUGUAAUUGGAAUGAGUACAAUUUAAAUCCCUUAACGAGGAACAAUUGGAGGGCAAGUCUGGUGCCAGCAGCCGCGGUAAUUCCAGCUCCAAUAGCGUAUAUUAAAGUUGUUGUGGUUAAAAAGCUCGUAGUUGUACCUUGGGCCUGGCUGGCCGAUCCGCCUCACCGCGUGCACUGGUCCGGCCGGGCCUUUCCCUCUGUGGAACCCCAUACCCUUCACUGGGCGUGGCGGGGAAACAGGACAUUUACUUU